CCAGACUCCUACGGGAGGCAGCAGUAGGGAAUUUUCGUCAAUGGGCGCAAGCCUGAACGAGCGAUGCCGCGUGAGUGAAGAAGGCCUUCGGGUCGUAAAGCUCUGUUGCGGGGGAAAAAGGCAGCAUCAGGAAAUGGGUGCUGACUGAUGGUGCCCCGCCAGAAAGCCCCGGCUAACUACGUGCCAGCAGCCGCGGUAAUAUGUAGGGGGCUAGCGUUAUCCGGAAUUACUGGGCGUAAAGGGUGCGUAGGUGGUUUCUUAAGUCAGAGGUGAAAGGCUACGGCUCAACCGUAGUAAGCCUUUGAAACUGGGGAACUUGAGUGCAGGAGAGGAGAGUGGAAUUCCUAGUGUAGCGGUGAAAUGCGUAGAUAUUAGGAGGAACACCAGUUGCGAAGGCGGCUCUCUGGACUGUAACUGACACUGAGGCACGAAAGCGUGGGGAGCAAACAGGAUUAGAUACCCCAGUA
rnacentral:rRNA from 1 species